GGAUGUGAGGGUGAUCUGGCUGCGACAUCUGUCACCCCACUGAUCGCCAGGGUUGAUUCGGCUGCUCUGGCUGGCUAGGCUGGUGUCCCCUUCCUCCCUCACUGCUCCAUGUGCUUCCCUCUCGAAGCUGCGCGCUCGGUCGAAGAGGACGGCCUUCCCCGAAUAGAGACGGACUGGUCUUCGGUUGAGGGUAUACGAGUAGCUGCGCUCCCCUGCUAGAACAAGCUCUCAAGAAAUUAUCCUGGGAGUUGGGCAGUAGCGCAGAUGGUUAAGCCCAUGUGGGGCGAAGC
rnacentral:snRNA from 1 species